rnacentral:rRNA from 1 species
UACGUAGGCAGCGAGCGUUGUUCGGAGUUACUGGGCGUAAAGCGUGCGUAGGCGGUGUCUUAAGUUUGUUGUGAAAUCUCCCGGCUUAACCGGGAGGGUGCGGCGAAUACUGAGAUGCUGGAGUGCCGGAGAGGUAAGCGGAAUUCCUGGUGUAGCGGUGAAAUGCGUAGAGAUCUGGAGGAAUACCGGUGGCGAAGGCGGCCCCCUGGACAAAGACUGACGCCCAGGUGCGAAAGCGUGGGGAGCAAACAGG